rnacentral:rRNA from 1 species
CCUACGGGGUGCAACAGUGAGGAAUAUUGGUCAAUGGGCGUAAGCCUGAACCAGCCAAGUCGCGUGAGGGAUGAAGGUUCUAUGGAUCGUAAACCUCUUUUAUAAGGGAAUAAAGUGCGGGACGUGUCCCGUUUUGUAUGUACCUUAUGAAUAAGGAUCGGCUAACUCCGUGCCAGCAGCCGCGGUAAUACGGAGGAUCCGAGCGUUAUCCGGAUUUAUUGGGUUUAAAGGGUGCGUAGGCGGCCUUUUAAGUCAGCGGUGAAAGUCUGUGGCUCAACCAUAGAAUUGCCGUUGAAACUGGGAGGCUUGAGUAUGUUUGAGGCAGGCGGAAUGCGUGGUGUAGCGGUGAAAUGCUUAGAUAUCACGCAGAACCCCGAUUGCGAAGGCAGCUUGCCAAGCCAUGACUGACGCUGAUGCACGAAAGCGUGGGGAUCAAACAGGAUUAGAUACCCUAGUAGUC